rnacentral:rRNA from 1 species
GAUGAACGCUGGCGGCGUGCUUAACACAUGCAAGUCGAACGAGAAGUGGAGACGGAAACCUUCGGGCGGAAGACUUUAUUUCGAGUGGCGGACGGGUGAGUAACGCGUGGGUAACCUGCCUCAUACAGGGGGAUAACAGUUGGAAACGACUGUUAAUACCGCAUAAGACCACAGCACCGCAUGGUGCGGGGGUAAAAACUCCGGUGGUAUGAGAUGGACCCGCGUUCAAUUAGCCAGUUGGCGGGGUAACGGCCCACCAAAGCGACGAUCGAUAGCCGAUCUGAGAGGAUGACCGGCCACAUUGGGACUGAGACACGGCCCAAACUCCUACGGGAGGCAGCAGUGGGGAAUAUUGCACAAUGGGGGAAACCCUGAUGCAGCGACGCCGCGUGAGUGAAGAAGUAUUUCGGUAUGUAAAGCUCUAUCAGCAGGGAAGAAAAUGACGGUACCUGAGUAAGAAGCCCCGGCUAACUACGUG